AUCUACAGGCUUAACACAUGCAAGUCGAGGGGCAGCAUGGUCUUAGCUUGCUAAGGCCGAUGGCGACCGGCGCACGGGUGAGUAACACGUAUCCAACCUGCCGUCUACUCUUGGACAGCCUUCUGAAAGGAAGAUUAAUACAAGAUGGCAUCAUGAGUCCGCAUGUUCACAUGAUUAAAGGUAUUCCGGUAGACGAUGGGGAUGCGUUCCAUUAGAUAGUAGGCGGGGUAACGGCCCACCUAGUCUUCGAUGGAUAGGGGUUCUGAGAGGAAGGUCCCCCACAUUGGAACUGAGACACGGUCCAAACUCCUACGGGAGGCAGCAGUGAGGAAUAUUGGUCAAUGGGCGAGAGCCUGAACCAGCCAAGUAGCGUGAAGGAUGACUGCCCUAUGGGUUGUAAACUUCUUUUAUAAAGGAAUAAAGUCGGGUAUGGAUACCCGUUUGCAUGUACUUUAUGAAUAAGGAUCGGCUAACUCCGUGCCAGCAGCCGCGGUAAUACGGAGGAUCCGAGCGUUAUCCGGAUUUAUUGGGUUUAAAGGGAGCGUAGAUGGAUGUUUAAGUCAGUUGUGAAAGUUUGCGGCUCAACCGUAAAAUUGCAGUUGAUACUGGAUAUCUUGAGUGCAGUUGAGGCAGGCGGAAUUCGUGGUGUAGCGGUGAAAUGCUUAGAUAUCACGAAGAACUCCGAUUGCGAAGGCAGCCUGCUAAGCUGCAACUGACAUUGAGGCUCGAAAGUGUGGGUAUCAAACAGGAUUAGAUACCCUGGUAGUCCACACGGUAAACGAUGAAUACUCGCUGUUUGCGAUAUACUGCAAGCGGCCAAGCGAAAGCGUUAAGUAUUCCACCUGGGGAGUACGCCGGCAACGGUGAAACUCAAAGGAAUUGACGGGGGCCCGCACAAGCGGAGGAACAUGUGGUUUAAUUCGAUGAUACGCGAGGAACCUUACCCGGGCUUAAAUUGCAGAUGAAUUACGGUGAAAGCCGUAAGCCGCAAGGCAUCUGUGAAAGUGCUGCAUGGUUGUCGUCAGCUCGUGCCGUGAGGUGUCGGCUUAAGUGCCAUAACGAGCGCAACCCUUGUUGUCAGUUACUAACAGGUUCCGCUGAGGACUCUGACAAGACUGCCAUCGUAAGAUGUGAGGAAGGUGGGGAUGACGUCAAAUCAGCACGGCCCUUACGUCCGGGGCUACACACGUGUUACAAUGGGGGGUACAGAGGGCCGCUACCACGCGAGUGGAUGCCAAUCCCCAAAACCUCUCUCAGUUCGGACUGGAGUCUGCAACCCGACUCCACGAAGCUGGAUUCGCUAGUAAUCGCGCAUCAGCCACGGCGCGGUGAAUACGUUCCCGGGCCUUGUACACACCGCCCGUCAAGCCAUGGGAGCCGGGGGUACCUGAAGUGCGUAACCGCGAGGAGCGCCCUAGGGUAAAACUGGUGACU
rnacentral:rRNA from 1 species